GUUACUGUCCCUAAAUGUAAAACAUGCAAGCUUUUACACACCGUGGAGAAAAGCACGAAAAUAUUUUCAAACGGCAAAAAAAUUAUGAAUUUCUUGUUAUCGGAACGGGUUGUUUUUAUUCUGGGGAAAAAAGAACCUUGCUGCACGCUGCCAUAUUUGUGUCUCAGGCAGCAGGAACUGCUGAUGGAAGCAAUAUAUGGAGCAGAUGUUGGAGAAAAUUCCCAUAACUACUUCAAUAGGAAACGAGCCCUUGGUGCCAGCUUCCUCCAUGAGCCGAGCACAGAACACCUGUGAUUGAAAGAAGACCUCACCUGGUCCAGGAGAUGUAAUCGGGACACGUAAGCUUUCUCUGUCUGCAGCAGCUCAUUGGCUAUAUUAUACACUUUCUGGCGAGCUGUGAACUGGAAGAAAGAAUGGGAAA